rnacentral:rRNA from 1 species
AGGUACUGCCUGCCCAGUGAGGAAGACCCUUGAACGGCCGCGCAUAAACCGCGCAAAGGUAGCAUAAUCAUUUGUCCUCCAAAUAAGGACCAGCAUGAAUGGCAACAUGAGAAAGAAACUGUCUCUUUAAGUCGGUCAAUGAACCUGAUUUGCCUGUACAAAAGCAGGCAUAAAAAAGCAAGACAAAAAGACCCUGUGAAACUUUAAAUGUCCGUCAACCCUAUGACUAAGACAUUUUCGGUUGGGGCAACCAAAGAGAAACAAAACCUCAAAAAUGUUACACGGCAAACAAGCCCACUAACACCACCAGACCCAGUAUUACUGAUCAAAGAACCAAGCUACUCCAGGGAUAACAGCGCUACAUUCCUGAAGAGUCCAUAUCGACAGGAAUACCUACGACCUCGAUGUUGGAUUGAGACACCCAGAUGGCGCAAAAGCUAUCAAUGGUUCGUUUGUUCAACGAUUAAAGCCUCACAUGAUCUGAGUCAAAACCGGAG